GGAAAUCAUGUGUCUUACGGUAUGCAACUAUUUAAUUACGAGCGCCGAAAGGCAUUGAUUAAGUGUUUUAUAAAUAAAGCUGUGUUUUUAAGUGUGACAGGAUUGUUAGUGAACAUUAGAGCAUGGAAUUUAAUGACGUUUGGGCGAUGCGUAUAAUAAGAAGGGAUAAAUUGUGUUCUCUUUUCUCUGAAGUGAGGGCAUAUUAAAAGAUAUAAAGACGUACAACAGCUAUACCACAGACAAUCAAUUGACGAUCACCACCGGAACCACCCACCGAUUUCAUCGACCAGCGACGAAAGUCGACACAGAGAAAUUUACCUUAACAUUAUUUACGCAAACAAUAGUAGCAUAAGCAUGUUCGCUGAAAUUGUCGACUACUUUGGGUUUUAAUCCUUCCAUUCCUCUUUCUUCGAUGUUUUCUUUCGGUUUCAUUCCCAAGCAGUCCAAGACAUAAAAAUUAAAUUACCCCUGUCAGAUAAGAAGGAUCUACGGGAAAUCGCGUACUACUUCGAAACAUUCAAUGACUUAGACAAAGUACACGACAAUGAAAAAAUUUCUGUAUUCUCGUAUAUGCUAUUCUCUAACAGAAUUUCUAUCACUAACCUACUUUUUUGCAUCGAUUAUUUCCACAUUCCCGUACUUGUUGAUCAAAUGCUUGACCAUUUCCUCCAUUACGAUGACAUUCUAAAUUAUAAACUUUGUCUAUCUAUCAUAGACGUUUUUGGCAUCGACUCAUAUAUAGCUCAAACAGCUAACCUUCGUUUGACCCAUUCAAAUUCUCUCCCACACGUUUGGCGACAUUUACCAAUGACCGACUUUGUAGGGAUGAAUGAUAAAGCAUUGGAUUUUUUGGAUUUAUCUAUGUCGUUACAUUUUAAACAUCUUCCCAGUGUUCAGUUCUAUGCAUGUCACGUUUGUUGGUACCAAGUAUUGGACAAUUAUCAUUUUAAUGAUUGUUGUCCAUCUGCUUGUCACGCCAGUUGUGGCGAUUCGUAUAUUUUCACGGAAACCACCCAAACGUGUACAUUUUGUCAAAAAAGGGAGCCCAGACAAAUACCGCGACCCGCAAGUCCUCCACGAGAGCCUGAAAACUGGGAAGAUGAACUCUUGUUCUGAACUCAUAAUGAAUUUAAAAAAAGUAUUAGUAGGUGAUGGCUAUUUGAGUUAAGAAAUCAUAAUGAAACCUGCAUGGGUAACGGGUAUUGCCUUUAUUGAUGAACCAUUGUAAAUAAUUAAGUACACUAUACCAAUGAUAUACCUGUUUACUUAUGCAGUCUUGUUAUAUAAUUUUAAUAAUGAUGAGCUUUACAUUGCAUAAAGACACAUAGCCUUGAUGAAUUACGCGCUUUCUGUCUGCAUAGAACAUGAAUUACUUGAUACUACAACUUUUUACAGCGGACGAGCCCUUCAACGCCACCGGAAGCAGUUGCCGACCGGACGAUUCGUCACCGGCGAGGGGUCCUAUACAUACCAGUCAUCCCACUUUUACAUCACGAUGCCAGCGUUUACUUUUAAAAACUUGAUAUAUUACCAUAGAAAAUGUUGUCAUUGCUCAUGAUGCUGUUAAUUAUGCUUUUAACUAUGUUGUUACAUAUCAUACCAAAUUUGUAAUACUCUGGCAUCUAUCAUUUCAUUAUUGUAAAUUGUUCACAUUUUGUCGUCGAAAAUCUAAUAUUUUUUUAUCAUAACAUAAAUUUUUGUACUGAUAUCUUGUCAUUCAGGAUUGGAUCUUUCUAAAGAUUUUAAAUCAUGAAAUAUAAAAUCUUUCUUCGAUGAAAAUGAGGUAUGUGACGUAACACAGAAAAUUAUAUUAGGAUUACUAAUUUUAUAAUCAAAUUGUAAUUAUAUUAGGGUUAGUAAUUUUAUAAUCAAAUUGUAAUACAGAGGCAAGAAACGUACAAAAUCAUAAGUAACUACACUAUAACUAAAUAAAGACGGUUAGUAAUUAAGAUACCAAACGAAAACAAAGUAAUUAACACGUCAUAACAUACUAUUAGGUCUCUUCUACGUAAUACCUAAAAGUAUCAUGGCUUGUUAAAUGCAUAGAAACAAUUAGUAAGUACAUUAAGCGGGGAGAAGCGACAUUCCGAUGCGUUUUCCAGUAGUGCGUUCAGUUACAGCGAACGUUCGCCAAUGAUUGUUCGUUUCCGAUUCGGUCUUAUUGAACGAUAAGUUCGGCGCGAACGUUGCAAGAUGGCGGCUCCCAGAAAAUUGAUUGUGAUUUUGAUGGCGGAAAUCGCUAAUAACACAGAAAGUACUUAACUUACAGAUAUUUCAAAAAUAAUAAAACCUAUAAAAAUUUGAUUAUAAUUAUAAGUGGUGUGGAUGCGAUAGUGUUAUUUUUCAUUAGCGAUCGAAAUUUAGUGUAAGAGGUGCAUUGAAUCAGUUAUAAAACAAAGCCCUAAAAUAGCGCAAUACAUUACAAUCUUCAAAUGUAGUUGUAAUUUUCUUUUACAUUGAAUGAAUUUUCGUUUCGUUUACAUUUAAUGAAAAUUUUAAUAAAUUUUAGCAUUCAAAUGGAAAAAACAACACCUACAUAUUUUGAGAAUUGAAUUGUCUUUGAAUGCACAUGUAUAUUGAAAACUCUUUUGUAGUGAUUAUGAGCGAUACUAAUCUGGCAUUUUAUUAAUCCAUAAAUCUGUACAUUUAUUUUACCCAAGUAUUUUAUAUCGAUAUUAUGAUCAAACGCGAUUACUUGUUUUCACGAUGAUGUUUGGAACACUGCAAAAACGCACGAUCUUUACACGUUAUUACAUCGGAGUUUACAUUUGCAGGUACCCGUUAAAUACGAUAAUUGUGUAGCAGUAAAUUUCUACAAUAUUUUUCAAUGUAUUGUCAUUAUAAAACACUUAAGUGUUAUGUUAAAACUGGCUUAUAUAUAUACUUAAUAGUCCCUGUUAAUCCAUUUCGGACAAAUGUACGUCUAUUUUUUAAAUAUGUUCGAAUAUUUUAUUAAAGCAACUGUUAAGUUUUUGGCUUAAUAUGCCAAGAGAUGACACGGAGGUAUCAUAAAUUGUGUUUAAUGACCAGACACAUGUGGUUAAUGACCCCAUACUGAGUCAUACAAAUAUGGGUCCCUGGGUUUAUGACACCCUGUUUUCUUAGUUAUUGUCUGGACAGUAUCCGAUCAUAUGGAGAUAAUCUGUUUGUGAUGAACAAAGUGGCAAUUAAAUAAUGGGUGGUUAAAAAUGCUGAAAUAAGGAGUUUCGAAAUUGGUGUGAACAAUUAAAUGAAAACAUUUACAUGUAUCAAGAGGAUUUAGUUAAUCUGUAACAAUUAAGUUUUUACGGACAUAUAGGUUCAAAUAGUUUCUUUAUGUUGAUUACAUAAAAUCAAUCAAGUUGUUUGUUUUCGUCCUCAUUUGUGUUCAUUCAUUGGAUUCUAUUUAAUCUUAAAGAAUUUCAAUUUCUGAGUAUUAUGUUGUUGGGUCGCGAAUAUGAUUGAAAUCUUAUCACGAUCGCAACGCAAAUGCAAACAAUAGCAGAAUGGCCGCAGUGUUGACGGCCAAAAUUUGAGGAUGCGCAAACGUGACGUCAUUAUCGGAAUCCCCAAAACCUCCUAUACACUUUGUUUAUUGUUCAAUUCAUUUUAUGUACUACAAAAAAGGAAAAAAUAUCGAAGUUACACUGAACAAAUACAACAUAUUUAUUUGUCCGCCAUCUUGGUUUCGCUAGCGAAAUACCUCCCGAGAGGGUUCGCCUCGGUUAUCGAACGUUCGCGGCGAACCGAGCGUUCAAAAGCGAACGUUCGCGACCGUUCGAGAAUUAUAGCGAACGUUCGCUGUAACUGAACGCACUACAGGUUUGAAUACAAAUUGGAGAUGUAAAAUUAAAUGGAGACCCGCGAGUACAGAGGCGUAAAGUCCGGUGGGACGAUAUGUCAUCUGUCCAAGAACGGCAAAAUCACAUGUUUGACGCCCAUUACUUGAUGACAGGCGUGGGUCACGAAUUAGGCGAGUACGUAACGAAAUUGGUAUAAAUACCUCGUCAAAAUAUGCAAAUAACACACACCCUUGCCUUCUCUUAGGAAAUAUUCAUUUUGUGUUAUUUACUUUGGUUUUGAAAUUAUUUGUUUAUCUUAAAUAAAGAACUUAAACUUUA